GCAUAACGCGAAGAACCUUACCUAGGCUUGACAUGCAUCUCUAAGCACGUGAAAGCGUGUGACCUUUCGGGGGAUUGCACAGGUGCUGCAUGGCCGUCGUCAGCUCGUGUCGUGAGAUGUUGGGUUAAGUCCCGCAACGAGCGCAACCCUUGUGACUAGUUGCCAGCACGUUAUGGUGGGAACUCUAGUCAGACUGCCCAGAUCAACUGGGAGGAAGGUGGGGACGACGCCAGGUCAGUAUGGCCCUUACGCCUAGGGCUGCACACGUACUACAAUGCCCAGCACAAUGAGAACCGAGACCGCGAGGUGGAGGAAAUCUAAAAAACUGGGCCCAGUUCGGAUUGGAGGCUGCAACUCGCCUCCAUGAAGUUGGAAUCGCUAGUAAUGGCGCAUCAGCUACGGCGCCGUGAAUACGUUCCC
rnacentral:rRNA from 1 species